GAAAUGCGAUAAGUAAUGUGAAUUGCAGAAUUCAGUGAAUCAUCGAAUCUUUGAACGCACCUUGCGCUCCUUGGUAUUCCUUGGAGCAUGCCUGUUUGAGUAUCAUGAAAUCUUCAAAGUAAAUCUUUUGUUAACUUAAUUGGUUUCUACUUUGGUAUUGGAGGUCUUUGCAGCUUCACACCUGCUCCUCUUUGUUCAUUAGCUGGAUCUCAGUGUUAUGCUUGGUUCCACUCGGCGUGAUAAGUUAUCUAUCGCUGAGGACACUGUAAAAGGUGGCCAAGGUAAAUGCAGAUGAACCGCUUCUAAUAGUCCAUUGACUUGGACAAUACUUUUAUGAUCUGAUCUCAAAUCAGGUAGGACUACCCGCUGAACUUAAGC
rnacentral:misc_RNA from 1 species